rnacentral:rRNA from 1 species
UAGAGUUUGAUCAUGGCUCAGGACGAACGCUGGCGGCGUGCUUAACACAUGCAAGUCGAGCGGAAAGGCCCUUCGGGGUACUCGAGCGGCGAACGGGUGAGUAACACGUGAGUAACCUGCCCUAGGCUUUGGGAUAACCCUCGGAAACGGGGGCUAAUACCGAAUAUGACUUCCUCCCGCAUGGUGGGGGGUGGAAAGUUUUUCGGCUUGGGAUGGACUCGCGGCCAAUCAGCUCGUUGGUGGGGUAAUGGCCUACCAAGGCGACGACGGGGAGCCGGCCUGAGAGGGCGACCGGCCACACUGGGACUGAGACACGGCCCAGACUCCUACGGGAGGCAGCAGUGGGGAAUAUUGCACAAUGGGCGAAAGCCUGAUGCAGCGACGCCGCGUGAGGGAUGACGGCCUUCUGGGUUUGUAAUCUCUCUUUCAGCAGGGACGAAGCGUAAGUGACGGUACCUGCAGAAGAAGCGCCGGCCAACUACGUGCCAGCAGCCGCGGUAAGACGUAGGGCGCGAGCGUUGUCCGGAUUUAUUGGGCGUAAAGAGCUCGUAGGCGGCUUGUCGCGUCGACUGUGAAAACCCGCAGCUCAACUGCGGGCCUGCAGUCGAUACGGGCAGGCUAGAGUUCGGUAGGGGAGACUGGAAUUCCUGGUGUAGCGGUGGAAUGCGCAGAUAUCAGGAGGAACACCGGUGGCGAAGGCGGGUCUCUGGGCCGAUACUGACGCUGAGGAGCGAAAGCGUGGGGAGCGAACAGGAUUAGAUACCCUGGUAGUCCACGCUGUAAACGUUGGGCGCUAGGUGUGGGGGACCUCUCCGGUUCUCUGUGCCGCAGCUAACGCAUUAAGCGCCCCGCCUGGGGAGUACGGCCGCAAGGCUAAAACUCAAAGGAAUUGACGG